rnacentral:rRNA from 1 species
AACUCUGAGGAGUGGAUCAUUCGGCACACGAGUCGAUGAAGAACGCAGCUAUCUGGGAGACUUGGUGUGAAUUGCAGGACACGUUGAGCACUCUAACGCGCGAACGACAUUUCGAAGGCGCAUUGCGGUCUCGGGUGACACCCGGGACCUUUCCUGUCUGAGGGUCG